CCUGGUGUGGCUUAGUGGUUUGAAUGUUGGACUGUGACUCUGGAGACCAGGGUUCGAUUCCCAGCUCGGA